rnacentral:rRNA from 1 species
AUACGGAGGGUGCAAGCGUUACUCGGAAUCACUGGGCGUAAAGCGCGCGCAGGCGGUCUUUUAAGUUGGAUGUGAAAGCCUACGGCUCAACCGUAGAACUGCAUCCAAAACUAUUAGACUAGAGUGUGGGAGAGGAAGAUGGAAUUAGUUGUGUAGGGGUAAAAUCCGUAGAGAUAACUAGGAAUACCAAAAGCGAAGGCAAUCUUCCGGAACACUACUGACGCUGAGGCGCGAAAGCGUGGGGAGCAAACAGGAUUAGAAACCCAGUAGUCC